rnacentral:rRNA from 1 species
GACGAACGCUGGCGGCGUGCUUAACACAUGCAAGUCGAACGGAAAGGCCCUGCUUUUGUGGGGUGCUCGAGUGGCGAACGGGUGAGUAACACGUGAGUAACCUGCCCUUGACUUUGGGAUAACUUCAGGAAACUGGGGCUAAUACCGGAUAGGAGCUCCUGCUGCAUGGUGGGGGUUGGAAAGUUUCGGCGGUUGGGGAUGGACUCGCGGCUUAUCAGCUUGUUGGUGGGGUAGUGGCUUACCAAGGCUUUGACGGGUAGCCGGCCUGAGAGGGUGACCGGCCACAUUGGGACUGAGAUACGGCCCAGACUCCUACGGGGGGCAGCAGUGGGGAAUAUUGCACUAUGGGCGGAAGCCUGAUGCAGCAACGCCGCGUGCGGGAUGACGGCCUUCGGGUUGUAAACCGCUUUCGCCUGUGACGAAGCGUGAGUGACGGUAAUGGGUAAAGAAGCACCGGCUAACUACGUG